CUCCAUGAGCUGUCACACACACACACACAUACACACACACACACACACACACACACCGAGACGCUUACACACCAGGAGCCCCUGCGUGUUGGAGCAAACCUCCGCUCCGUCUAGUCUCUCCUCGGCCGCGGAGCCGCAGCUGGUUUGAUUUUUGCUUGGCUGCGCGGAGCCUCUCGUCGUGACAAGAGUUUUCGUCUGAAAGAGGAGUGAGCCGCGCGGAAAGAAGAGGAUGAGCAGGAAUAGCCACUGACUGGAUGGAUGGAGGAAGAGGAACUCCUCAUGACGGUGGUGCCCUGCUAUCAGACGAACAGGCUCGUUCUAAGACGUGGAUGAAGCAAAGGGAGGUGAAAGAGAGUAAAAGAGCAAGGAAUCUCAAGGCGCCCCGUCAAUUAUAGAAGUUACAGUCUGUGGCCGAUCCCUUUUUAUUUUGCGGCUGUGUUGGAGACCGCAAAAUGUUCUUCAGCCUUGCAAGGAGCAUGGCAUCUCUUUCUACAUCUCAUUGCCCUGUUGAUGAGUAUGGGCUAGAGCAACGUAAAGAUUUCCUGGCCUCGAAUGAGGCCCCUGGGGCUGUUCUGUGUAGGCAUUUGUGAUAACCCUACUGGAUCUUCUGCUGUCACCAUCCUCCAUGGUUGUCAUUAGUGGCUAAUGAGCUGCUGCUAGAGAGGAAAAGUAGAAUGUGCCUGUGGAGAGGGGCCGGACAUUACAGCUGUUAUUAAGAGGCCCAGACAUCUUAGACAAGGAAGUCUUUGCCCUUUCAAAAGGCUUUGAAACCAUGAAAGUAUUUUAACUCUGAAAGUUGUUUUUAUAUGUUUCUGUUUUCUGGUCUUAAUUAUUAAUACUUUGUUUUUGUGUUAGCAUUAUAUGCUUUUUGACAAUGAAACAAUUAAGAUCAAAGACAGUCUUUCAGCGAGAUGAUUUGUUAAUUGAACAUGUACUGUUUUACUUUUAAAAGUGAAAAUCAUUAACAAGAGGGUCUAUUAUGAAA